rnacentral:rRNA from 1 species
GGGGGCUGCUCCUAGUACGAGAGGACCGGAGUGGACGCAUCACUGGUGUUCGGGUUGUCAUGCCAAUGGCACUGCCCGGUAGCUAAAUGCGGAAGAGAUAAGUGCUGAAAGCAUCUAAGCACGAAACUUGCCCCGAGAUGAGUUCUCCCUGAGACCUUGAGUCUCCUGAAGGUACGUUGAAGACUACGACGUUGAUAGGUCGGGUGUGUAAGCGCAGCGAUGCGUUGAGCUAACCGAUACUAAUGAACCGUGAGGCUUAACCUU